rnacentral:rRNA from 1 species
CCAAGCUUGCUUGGUGGAUCAGUGGCGAACGGGUGAGUAACACGUGAGCAACCUGCCCUGGACUCUGGGAUAAGCGCUGGAAACGGCGUCUAAUACUGGAUAUGAGACGUGAUCUCAUGGUCGUGUUUGGAAAGAUUUUUCGGUCUGGGAUGGGCUCGCGGCCUAUCAGCUUGUUGGUGAGGUAAUGGCUCACCAAGGCGUCGACGGGUAGCCGGCCUGAGAGGGUGACCGGCCACACUGGGACUGAGACACGGCCCAGACUCCUACGGGAGGCAGCAGUGGGGAAUAUUGCACAAUGGGCGGAAGCCUGAUGCAGCAACGCCGCGUGAGGGAUGACGGCCUUCGGGUUGUAAACCUCUUUUAGCAGGGAAGAAGCGAAAGUGACGGUACCUGCAGAAAAAGCGCCGGCUAACUACGUGCCAGCAGCCGCGGUAAUACGUAGGGCGCAAGCGUUAUCCGGAAUUAUUGGGCGUAAAGAGCUCGUAGGCGGUUUGUCGCGUCUGCUGUGAAAUCCCGAGGCUCAACCUCGGGCCUGCAGUGGGUACGGGCAGACUAGAGUGCGGUAGGGGAGAUUGGAAUUCCUGGUGUAGCGGUGGAAUGCGCAGAUAUCAGGAGGAACACCGAUGGCGAAGGCAGAUCUCUGGGCCGUAACUGACGCUGAGGAGCGAAAGGGUGGGGAGCAAACAGGCUUAGAUACCC